CAGUAGAUCUACGAGAUUAAGACUAAAUCAUCAGAAAGUCGUACAAGUAAUGUCGGAAACAGUCAUCGAUAAUUUGGGAUCGGAAGCCCUAUUGGACGAUACUACAACGAACGAGUCAGCUUCACGUGUUCGCGGAAGACCACGCGGAAGAUCUCACGGAAGACCUCGCGGAAGACCUCGCGGAAGAUCCGGCAGAAGACGCGGUAGACAAACUCAUACGCAAACAAGACACGCGAAUACUGUACAACAAAGUACAGAGACGAUUGAUUUGACGGAGAACACACGGAAAUCUGAUCAGGCUUAAAAUGAUACAACGCCGUCUGUAAAUGAAGGACAGGCGAGUGCCGAGACACAAAAUAACGAGACGUUGAUUUGGUGGAGAAUGCACUAGGAUUUGAUCA